rnacentral:lncRNA from 1 species
UUGGAUUUAGAUUGUUCUUUGCCCUAACUAAAUACAAGGAAAAUAAAAUAUUAGUUAUUAAGGAAAAAUUAUUGAAAUUUGAAUUAAUGAAAAAAUAGUUAGAACUUUUCUUUUUAAAGGUUUUUUUUUUUUUUCUUUUUCUGUUCUCUUCCUUUCAUUUCAUUUCAAUAUUCUUUCAUUUCAAACUAACUUCCCUUAAGA